CAUCUAGAAAGAAAUCUAUGCACAAAUAUCAGAUAUCAACUUUUCUUCCUGCUUUGAUGGAGGUUCAGAUAUAACUCAUGAAGAAAUGAAGGAUUGUUCUUAAGGUUUUAGGUAAGGAAAUAGUCAAUUAAAAUGAACUUAGUCAAAUGAAGUUCUAUAUCUAGAGGAAUAUCAUUUCUUUAGCAGAAUAGUGCCACUGAUUAAAGGGAACUAUUUUUCAGGUGCGCGUGAUGCAACUUAUAUGAUGGUGUUAAGGCUGUUUUUCAACAUCUGAAACCCACGUGUAUUUCGGGAUAGGGGUAGUCUCGCUUUUUAAAGAUCCAAAAUGGCCGUUUUACAGUGCGACAUGCAGUCUGGUCAUCAACGGAGAGUUUGACACCUGUAAUACCCGUACGCGUAUUACUACCACUCACCUCUCUAACAUCUUUUGAGUUCAUCAUAUUAGUCCAUGACAGGAAGUUGAGGAAUCAAGUUGACCGGACAUUCCGCACUGUCCUCGGUACCAUCUUAUGAGGGAACCAACCGUACUGGACAUAUAUCACGCUUCAUUAUAGGACGAUAGAGCUACCUUGUCUUUUAAGAGAAACUCCAAACUUUGAUGACUGAUGGAAAAGCCUCAUCCCCGACGGCUAAAGAACGCCUUAUCUUAAUCACCAGCCAUUAAUCAGCGAUUACUAUUAUCAAAAGUCCAAGGUGCGCGUGAUGCAACUUCCUGGAUGGUGUGAAGGCUGUUUGUCAACAUUUAAAUCCACGUUUAUUUCGGGGGUUACCGUUUGAGCUCUACUGGAUCGGUGAUUAGAUACAGAGUUUCAUACUAGACCAUGCGUGAUGUGAAUAAAAUGUGAAUUAGCAAAACAUAACUGAAUCAAUUACUUAUUACAAAGUUUUAUAUUAGACCAGGCGUGAAAAAUGGGAAUUAUCACAACUGGAUCAGUAAAUGGAUACAAAGUUUUAUACUAGACCAGGCGUAAAAACAUGAAUUAGCACUACUGGAUCAUUAAUAAGAUACAGAGAUUUAUUCUAGAUCAGGCAUGAGAAGUUAUGGAUGCUUUAUAUCUCAAUGCGUACUUGGUUUUCUAUCAACUGGCACCUGAUUCUACUUCUAAUGUCUCAGAGGUCGUGUUUUCUCUGCUCCUAUUUUGUAGUGAUUUAUAGACUUUGAGAUUGAAUACUGUUCCACAUCAUUCAUCAACAUAUCGCGAGAUUUUCCAGUGUUAAGACUGUAUUUUUUCAGUUAUUGUAACAUGUGUAAAUAGUAAUUUGAAUAUUUUGUUUAUUUAUUUUUAUAUCUAUUUAGACUUUAUUUUCAUUCUACAUUUUGUGCAAUUGCGUCAUUUACUUUUCAUCUUUUUUUUUAAUUUUAUUUUCUGUAAUCUUUAAUUCAAGUUUAACAGGAUUGUAUAAUGGAAAGCUUUGGCAUUUUUAAGAAUACGAAAGCUGUCUUCAUAAACAUUGUGACAAUGAAAGAAUUUAAAGAAAACAUGUGAAUUAUAUGAGUGAUUUUUGUACCUUGUUACUUUGCUACUUUCACAAUUGGAUUGGUUUCUUUUGUAAACAAGGAGCAUAUUUAAUAUCAUU